GUCUAUGGCCAUGUCACCCUGAACAAACCCGAUCCCGUCUGAUCUCGGAAACUAAGCAGGGUCGGGCCUGGUUAGUACUUGGAUGGGAGACCACCUAGAAAGACCAGAUGCUCAAUGCG
rnacentral:rRNA from 1 species